rnacentral:rRNA from 1 species
UCGGAUUGCAGGCUGCAACUCGCCUGCAUGAAGCCGGAAUCGCUAGUAAUCGCGGGUCAGCAUACCGCGGUGAAUGUGUUCCUGAGCCUUGUACACACCGCCCGUCAAGCCACGAAAGUGGGGGGCCGCCGAAGUCGCCAAGCUAACCUUCGGGAGGCAGGCGCCGAAGCGGAACUCCGCGAUUGGGACUAAGUCGUAACAAGGUAGCCGUAGGGGAACCUGCGGCUGGAUCACCUCCUUU